AAUAAUUCAAACGACCCCAUUUUUUAAUAACCUGUAUUAGAACCGUUGAUCUCUUUUGAUCUAACGCUCUUGAACUGGGAUCUUGGCUAUUAUUUACUAUCCGAAGCCCUACCCAUCCUCCUCUAACUCCUCUCUCUCAUUUCCCUUCACUUUCAGAGAACACAUUUCAACCCUAGCGAAGCGCUAAUUUCCUCCAGUGGCGGCACCAGCCCUAAACCAGCCCAAAUCAACACAAUAGAACCUCCAUAACUCCCUCAUACCAAAUAUUUAAUUGUUUUCCCUCGAAUAUGUAUACAAAUUCACGAAUCGAAAAUCCGGGUUUGAACCCAAAAAGUCUAAAAUUAUUUUCCAUCUAACCCGGUGACAUGCAUGAUCAUAGGGUGUUCUUUCUUUCGAGUUUGAGUUUCGAUUCAACAAAAACUUAUGUCAUUCAGUUGUUCUUGAGAAAGAAUAAAUGAUUAACAAUAGUUUUGCUAAUUCAAUGUCUCCGAUGGGUCUUUGGUUUCUGAUUUGGUAAGUGUCUUCAUCCUUUUGCCCGUUUCGUCUUCUUUUCCUCUCUUCUCUUUAGUUAGAUUUUUUUUACUCUGUUUGAAAACUCGACAAAUUUCUGAGUUUAAAAUAUUUUUUUGUUGUUUUUUCCCCUUUGUUUCUUUUACAAAUCGUAAUAGUUAUUUCUGUGAUUUUCUUGGUCCGUUAAGUUUUGUUUAAUGGCAUCAUUUGAACCCCUGAUUUUUUUGUUUAGUCAUUUAGUUUAACUUAAUUAGGUUUAGUUUGGUUUAUUAAUUUAGUUUUUGUUCCCUGACUAUUUGUGUUAAUUAGUAAGUCAAUUAGUUUAGGUUUUAGUUGUUGAAAUCAUUUUAACAGUUUUCCCUUAUUUGCAUUGAAUUACUGAUUCAGUUUGGUCACAUUUACUGCUUGGGCCUUGAGGCUAGUUUAGACCCCACUCAAAAGUUUUUUUUUUUUUUUUUGGUAUUUGGAUCGGAUUUUAUCCCAUGUCUGGGUAAACUAUUGGGCCAAUUUGACCUAUUUAGGUCCCUAGAGUAAAAAAACAGAGGUUCAAAGGAUAAAUUAGGAAAUUUAGGGUAGGGGAAUCUCUUUUAACAGAAUAGGAAGCUUCCUAGAAGGUGCCUUUAGGACUAUUCUGUAAGUAUGAGUUUUAAACUAAGGGUAUGUGUGCAAAAAUGGAAAUAUCAAAAGGGUAGAAGUGCAAAUCUGGAUCCCUUUUAUGCUGCCCUAAUAACUUGCCUAUAAAUGUACCCUUUCUUCAAGCUCAAGGCAGAGUUCGGAGACAAAAAAUCCUGAAAACAUAAAAAACGGCCGAAUUUCUUUCUUUCAAGAAAAAAUACUAAAAAUAGCUAGAAUUUCUGCUUUAUUUUUUGGGAUAAUUCAGAAUUCAGAAAGCUCAGUAGUAGCUGCUCACUUGGGGUUUUGAUUGCUGAAAUAAGGUCAAGCAUUUGAAGCUUGAGUUGUUUGGUUUCAACAUUGUUCCAUUGAGCUGAUUCUGUUGUGAUUUUCCUCUUUGUUUGAGUUUGCUACUGCAGUUGUUUCUCUGUUGCUUCCAGCUUAUUUUUCUCAUUUAUUUUGUUGUUUAUUACCAGGUACAUAUUCUUGAUUCAAAAUAUGUAAAUAUAGUUCAUGUGGUUAUGAAGAAAUGAAAAUCUCUGUUCUUAUUAGACGUUUCUUUCUUUAUUUUUCUUUCUCAAUAGACCUGUUGGUUAAAUUUUCCUGUUUUAGCAUGUUUAAAUUGAGGUUAUGUUGUGAAUGUUGAGACUUACAUUGAAAAUUGUAAUUGGACUCUUAAUCGGUAUUUGUUAAUUUCAAUUUAUUUUGAAUCACUUCUAAUGAACUUGACUGGUUGUAUUGUCAUGAUAUCAAUAUUUACAGUUUAUUGCCACUUUAGGGUCUCUUUUUGAGUAAAUGUGUAUUCUUAAUGGUAUUAGAUCCAAAGAGGUUCUUCAUAAAUAGUGAAUAUAUUUUGGAAUAAUGUUAAGAGUUUCUUACUCUCAUUAUGGUUUCACUAUAGGAUAGCUAACGCAUCCUUGGGGGUUUAGAAUAUAGGUGACCAACGGGUGGGCCGGGCCGGGUCCGGGUCCAAAUUUUAUGACCC
rnacentral:lncRNA from 1 species